UUACGGCCAUAUCACGUUGAAAUAUCGGUUCCUGUACGAUCAAAGAACUUAAGCAACGUCGAGCCGGCUUAGUACCUACUUGGGUGACCGCUUGGGAAUAC